GGAUUGGUAGCUCAGUUGGUAGAGCAAGCAAACACCGUGUUCAAAACACUUGCCUAAUUCAUUGGGCUGACUGAAUAUGGUUAUCAUUUAAUGCCUGAGUCGCAGGUUCGAGUCCUGCCCAAUCCA
rnacentral:tRNA from 1 species